CUUGACCAGCCUGAUUGGUUGCAGGAGGGGACCAAUCAGAGGUACCUCCCAUUUUUCAUCUGCAGCCCAAUGCAAAGUAAUGACAUGGAUCUGGAGAGAUUCUCUUAGGAGAGAAUCUGGCUAAGUGUCUAGCAGGAUGAUUGAUUAACAAGAUGUUUUGUUUUCAUCAUCUCAGAGAGCUGUAUUGAGGUAUAAUUGAUAUGCCAAAUAACUGGACACAUUCAACUUGUGCAAUUUGAUGAGUUUGGAGAUACACAUACAUCUGUGAAACCAUCACCAAAAUCAAGAUGCUGGUGCCUGCAGUGGAGGCUGCUUGAAAUACAUCUGGUCCAGUCACAGCCUUGAUUGGGGCCAGUGCCUGUGCCAGCACCUGGAGCUGCCUGCCCCACCACAGCAGCCAGCGUGCCUGGCUGUGCACAGAGGCCAGACCUGUGCUCACUCACUCACACGCCCCUCACCACUCUGUGCCUGGCUCACCCUUGGCAGGCAUGGGAUCUCGGCCAGUAGCACGAGCCAAGCACAGCCUGCUGGGCCAAGUGGGUAAAACGAGCCCAGUGGGUGCGAGCAAGACUCAAGCAGAGGCACCACCAGCCGCCGAGGCACCACCAGCCACAGAGGUUUCUGGCUGGUGAAGCAACACCUGAAGAAUCCUAUGGCAUUUUCCUGACUUUGAAAUUUACCCACUUAGUCAAGAAAAUAUGAAGCUAUUCAUUCCCUUUACUUGUCUAGCAGAAUAUUUCCACAUAGAAGAUUUUAGUCUUUGUCAUCAAGACUGCGUAACAUUUAACACUCCACCACAUCAAAAUGCUACUUACACAUACAUAAUAAACACUCAGAGAGGAAUGCUGCCUCAGACAUCAUCUUUUCUUCACUCUGUCUAAAGCAUGAAUGUCCUUAGAUGUUCAUUCAAAAUUAGUGCCAGGGAGUGCUAUUUGGCAAGGCCACUUAGAA
rnacentral:lncRNA from 1 species